CUCUUUGUUAUGCAUGGACAAGAUAAUAUGAGCUUCUGAUUUCCUUAGGGUGUCAUCACGUGAGCAGCCUGAAGGCAUGUGAUUUUGGAGCAUGUAUAUUUCCGGCCCUUCCAAGCGAAACCACCACAUUGCACAGGAGAGACAAAAGAAGCCAGCAGCGAAGGGGUUAAAGAAAUGCUACUAGUGACUUAAGUCAUCAGCAAGAGGGAAAUUCAGACUGAACAACGAAAAGCUGACAUUUCAUUGGCUUCAAACCAUGGAGCGAGUAGCAACCAAAUAACAAGGCACAAGAGAACUCUCAC